rnacentral:misc_RNA from 1 species
GAUGAAGAACGCAGCGAAAUGCGAUAAGUAAUGUGAAUUGCAGAAUUCAGUGAAUCAUCGAAUCUUUGAACGCACAUUGCGCCCCCUGGUAUUCCGGGGGGCAUGCCUGUCCGAGCGUCAUUACAACCCUCAAGCUCAGCUUGGUGUUGGGCCCCGCCGCCCCGGCGGGCCCUAAAGUCAGUGGCGGUGCCGUCCGGCUCCGAGCGUAGUAAUUCUUCUCGCUCUGGAGGUCCGGUCGUGUGCUCGCCAGCAACCCCCAAUUUUUUUCAGGUUGACCUCGGAUCAGGUAGGGAUACCCGCUGAAAUUAAGCAUAUCAAUAAGCGGAGGA